GCCUGUGUAGUAUCAAUGGCAGAAUACUCGGCCGUCAACCGAGUGGUUCGGGUUCGAGUCCCGAUUCAGGCG
rnacentral:tRNA from 1 species